AAGAAAAUGACCCGGAGUCAGUGGAGUG
rnacentral:sRNA from 1 species